AGCAGGGUUUAUACUGUAGAGAUAUCAGCUGUAGCAGGGUUUAUACUGUAGAGAUAUCAGCUGUAGCAGGGUUUAUACUGUAGAGAUAUCAGGUCAGCUGUAGCAGGGUUUAUACUGUAGAGAUAUCAGCUGUAGCAGGGUUUAUACUAUAGAGAUAUCAGCUGUAGCAGGGUUUAUACUGUAGAGAUAUCAGCUGUAGCAGGGUUUAUACUGUAGAGAUAUCAGCUGUAGCAGGGUUUAUACUGUAGAGAUAUCAGCUGUAGCAGGGUUUAUACUAUAGAGAUAUCAGCUGUAGCAGGGUUUAUACUGUAGAGAUAUCAGCUGUAGCAGGGUUUAUACUGUAGAGAUAUCAGCUGUAGCAGGGUUUAUACUGUAGAGAUAUCAGCUGUAGCAGGGUUUAUACUGUAGAGAUAUCAGCUGUAGCAGGGUUUAUACUGUAGAGAUAUCAGCUGUAGCAGGGUUUAUACUGUAGAGAUAUCAGCUGUAGCAGGGUUUAUACUAUAGAGAUAUCAGCUGUAGCAGGGUUUAUACUGUAGAGAUAUCAGCUGUAGCAGGGUUUAUACUAUAGAGAUAUCAGCUGUAGCAGGGUUUAUACUGUAGAGAUAUCAGCUGUAGCAGGGUUUAUACUGUAGAGAUAUCAGCUGUAGCAGGGUUUAUACUGUAGAGAUAUCAGCUGUAGCAGGGUUUAUACUGUAGAGAUAUCAGCUGUAGCAGGGUUUAUACUGUAGAGAUAUCAGCUGUAGCAGGGUUUAUACUAUAGAGAUAUCAGCUGUAGCAGGGUUUAUACUGUAGAGAUAUCAGCUGUAGCAGGGUUUAUACUGUAGAGAUAUCAGCUGUAGCAGGGUUUAUACUGUAGAGAUAUCAGCUGUAGCAGGGUUUAUACUGUAGAGAUAUCAGCUGUAGCAGGGUUUAUACUGUAGAGAUAUCAGCUGUAGCAGGGUUUAUACUGUAGAGAUAUCAGCUGUAGCAGGGUUUAUACUGUAGAGAUAUCAGCUGUAGCAGGGUUUAUACUGUAGAGAUAUCAGCUGUAGCAGGGUUUAUACUGUAGAGAUAUCAGCUGUAGCAGGGUUUAUACUGUAGAGAUAUCAGCUGUAGCAGGGUUUAUACUGUAGAGAUAUCAGCUGUAGCAGGGUUUAUACUGUAGAGAUAUCAGCUGUAGCAGGGUUUAUACUGUAGAGAUAUCAGCUGUAGCAGGGUUUAUACUAUAGAGAUAUCAGCUGUAGCAGGGUUUAUACUGUAGAGAUAUCAGCUGUAGCAGGGUUUAUACUGUAGAGAUAUCAGCUGUAGCAGGGUUUAUACUGUAGAGAUAUCAGCUGUAGCAGGGUUUAUACUGUAGAGAUAUCAGCUGUAGCAGGGUUUAUACUAUAGAGAUAUCAGCUGUAGCAGGGUUUAUACUGUAGAGAUAUCAGCUGUAGCAGGGUUUAUACUGUAGAGAUAUCAGCUGUAGCAGGGUUUAUACUGUAGCAGGGUUUAUACUGUUUAUACUGUAGAGAUCUCAGAUAUCAGCUGUA